rnacentral:lncRNA from 1 species
AUCACAAUUUGGCUUUUUGUCCAAAACUCAUGAAUGUGGAUCUUCACAAAUACCAGAGAGAGAGAUUAGAAAGAGUGAAUCUGACCCCCAGAAUCAAGGCUGGUCUUUAUUUAGAGCUGGGAGACCUGGGGAGAGCAGAGGCAAAGGUGGGAACAUCAAGUCCUGAGGAGGAGACGUAAGCCAAGAGUCAACAUCAUUGAGGGUGAUUUGGAGUCUGAGACAAAGGUUGCACCAUGGGCUGAUAAAAGCUGACAAUUCCAGACACCUAAAAUAGAGAACUAAGAUCUUGCAAGCUGCACGGUGCAGCAGAAAAAGAAAAAAAGACAUGUCUUUGCUCCUGACUGGGGAAAGGAAAGAAAAUCUGAAAUGCUUUUCUUCUCCAUGGAGGAUGGAGAUAUUUCUCUUCAUCCAAAAUGAAAUGAGUGGAACUUGGAAUGGCUACAUCACUCCCAGCCUGUAUUGGAGGAGCCAGACUGAAAGAACAUCAGCCUCAAAAAACCACUCGCAUAUUUGCAGAAAUCACUAUGUUGGUAGAUAUGUCAGCAACAAAUGGAGUUAGCUGAGUCAUGCCUGUGAUACAUAUCAAAGAUGCCUGGAUCUGAACUGGACAGAGGCAGAGUGCAGUAGUAAUAAAUCGAUUUUGGCCUUCAUUUUUGCUUCUCUGAAAGGAGACAUACAUUUGGUCCAUUGUUUACCUCCUUAAAAGAAAUAAAGUGUGGUCACAACUCAUCUGAGAACCUGCAAUCUAUUGCUAAGCCUAUUGCUAUUCUUUUUAAGAAAGAUGAAUCAGAGAGCUUUGAGGGGAAGAGGGGGCA